UGGAAUUGACAAUUACCCGGCCUAUGGCAUU
rnacentral:piRNA from 1 species